rnacentral:tRNA from 2 species
UGUAAUUUAGUUUAGGUAGAAUGUUUGCUUUUGGUGCAAGAGGGUUUAAUUACAG